rnacentral:rRNA from 1 species
AUUGAACGCUGGCGGCAGGCCUAACACAUGCAAGUCGAGCGAGCGGCGGACGGGUGAGUAAUGUCUGGGAAACUGCCUGCUGGAGGGGGAUAACUACUGGAAACGGUAGCUAAUACCGCAUACCAUCAGAUGUGCCCAGAUGGGAUUAGCUCGUAGGUGGGGUAACGGCUCCCCCAGGCGACGAUCCCUAACUGGUCUGAGAGGAUGACCAGCCAAACUGGAACUGACACACGGUCCAGACUCCUACGGGAGGCGGCAGUGGGGAAUAUUGCACAAUGGGCGCAAGCCUGAUGCAGCCAUGCCGCGUGUAUGAAGAAGGCCUUCGGGUUGUAAAGCACUUUCAGUGGGGAGGCGUUACCCGAAGAAGAAGCACCGGCUAACUCCGUGCCAGCAGCCGCGGUAAUAC